rnacentral:rRNA from 1 species
AUUGAACGCUGGCGGCAUGCCUUACACAUGCAAGUCGAACGGUAACAGGUCUUCGGAUGCUGACGAGUGGCGAACGGGUGAGUAAUACAUCGGAACGUGCCUAGUAGUGGGGGAUAACUACUCGAAAGAGUGGCUAAUACCGCAUGAGAUCUACGGAUGAAAGCAGGGGAUCGCAAGACCUUGUGCUACUAGAGCGGCCGAUGGCAGAUUAGGUAGUUGGUGGGAUAAAAGCUUACCAAGCCGACGAUCUGUAGCUGGUCUGAGAGGACGAUCAGCCGAACUGGGACGGGGACACGGCCCAGACUCCUACGGGAGGCAGCAGUGGGGAAUUUUGGACAAGGGGCGCAAGCCUGAUUCAGCAAUGCCGCGUGCAGGAUGAAGGCCUUCGGGUUGUAAACUGCUUUUGUACGGAACGAAAAGCCCCGGGUUAAUACCCUGGGGUCAUGACGGUACCGUAAGAAUAAGCACCGGCUAACUACGUGCCAGCCGCCGCGGUAA